GCCGCGGUGGCCCAAUGGUUAGCGCGUUAGAUUCCCGAUCGAGCGGUCCUGGUUCGAGGGCUGGCCGGGGUCA